rnacentral:rRNA from 1 species
UGAGUACGAGCUGCUACGGCAGCGAAGUUGGUGAUGUCAUGCUUCCAAGAAAAGCUCUAUACCCGUUAAGGCAUAACUGCCAGUACCCGAAACCGACACAGGUGGGGUGGUAGAGAAUACCGAGGUGCGCGAGGUAACUCUCUCUAAGGAACUCGGCAAAAUGGCCCCGUAACUUCGGGAGAAGGGGUGCCACAGCAAUGUGGUCGCAGUGAAGAGGCCCUGGCGACUGUUUACCAAAAACACAGGUCUCCGCUAAGUCGCAAGACGAUGUAUGGGGGCUGACGCCUGCCCAGUGCCGGAAGGUUAAGGAAGCCGGUCAGCGUAAGCGAAGCUGGCGACUGAAGCCCCGGUGAACGGCGGCCGUAACGAUAACGGUCCUAAGGUAGCGAAAUUCCUUGUCGGGUAAGUUCCGACCCGCACGAAAGGCGUAACGAUCAGGGCGCUGUCUCGGAGAGAGGCUCGGCGAAAUAGAAUUGUCUGUGAAGAUGCGGACUACAUACACCCGGACAGAAAGACCCUAUGAAGCUUUACUGUAGCUUGGUAUUGUGCCCGGGCUCUGAAUGCGCAGGAUAGGUGGGAGACGUUGAUCUAGUGCUCGUGGGUACUAGGGAGUCAAUGGUGAGAUACCACUCUUUCAGAGCUAGGGUUCUAACGUUCACCCGUUAUCCGGGGAGCGGACAGUAUCAGGUGGGCAGUUUGACUGGGGCGGUCGCCUCCUAAAAGGUAACGGAGGCGCGCAAAGGUUUCCUCAGGCUGGUUGGAAAUCAGCCGACGAGUGCAAAAGCAGAAGGAAGCUUGACUGUGAGACCUACAAGUCGAACAGGGACGAAAGUCGGCUUUAGUGAUCCGACGGUUCUGAGUGGAAGGGCCGUCGCUCAACGGAUAAAAGUUACUCUAAGGAUAACAGGCUGAUCUCCCCCAAGAGUUCACAUCGACGGGGAGGUUUGGCACCUCGAUGUCGGCUCAUCGCAACCUGGGGCUGAAGUCGGUCCCAAGGGUUGGGCUGUUCGCCCAUUAAAGCGGUACGCGAGCUGGGUUCAGAACGUCGUGAGACAGUUCGGUCCAUAUCCGGUGUAUGCGUAGGAAUAUUGAGAGGAUUUCUCCCUAGUACGAGAGGACCGGGAGGAACGCACCUCUGGUGUACCAGUUAUCGUGCCAACGGUAAACGCUGGGUAGCCAUGUGCGGAGUGGAUAACCGCUGAAAGCAUCUAAGUGGGAAGCCCACCUCAAGAUGAGUAUUCCCAUGGGGUAACCCAGUAAGGUCACGGGAAGAACACCCGUUGAUAGGCUCUACGUCGAAGUUCAGUAAUGGAUGCAGCGGAGGAGUACUAAUAGACCGAGGGCUUGAC